rnacentral:rRNA from 1 species
UGGGGAUGACGUCAAGUCCUCAUGGCCCUUAUGACCAGGGCUACACACGUGCUACAAUGGCCGGUACAAAGAGUUGCGAUACCGUGAGGUGGAGCCAAUCUCAUAAAGCCGGUCUCAGUUCGGAUCGGAGUCUGCAACUCGACUCCAUGAAGUUGGAAUCGCUAGUAAUCGCGGAUCAGCAUGCCGCGGUGAAUACGUUCCCGGGCCUU